rnacentral:lncRNA from 1 species
AUGCACAUUCUAACAUGAAUCAUAUAAAAUUCAGCAGUAUAUCAAUUGAAUAUAUGAUCCUAUCAUAUAUGCAUCUAUUCAUAUCAACUCAUAUGAAUACAUAAUCAUACAAAGAUAUAUGAUUGCAAAAUUCAUUUAUAAAUUUCAUAACAUAAUUCAUAUCAAACAUAUGAAAUUAGAUUAUUGUUAUCUCAUAGCAAAAUUCAAAACUUAUGUGAUCUAUAAUUCUACACCUAAGCAUGACAUAUGAUUGAACCAAUCAAGGAUAGCU